UACGAAGGGGGCUAGCGUUGCUCGGAAUCACUGGGCGUAAAGGGCUCGUAGGCGGCCAACUAAGUCGGACGUGAAAUCCCCAGGCUCAACCCAGGAACUGCGUCCGAUACUGGUUGGCUUGAAUCCGGGAGAGGGAUGUGGAAUUCCAGGUGUAGCGGUGAAAUGCGUAGAUAUCUGGAGGAACACCGGUGGCGAAGGCGACAUCCUGGACCGGUAUUGACGCUGAGGCGCGAAGCCAGGGAGCAAAGCAGG
rnacentral:rRNA from 1 species